ensembl:snoRNA U3 Small nucleolar RNA U3
GAGACUAUCCUUUCAGUGAUGAUUUCUGUAGUUCGUUACUAGAGAAGUUUCUCUGAAUGUGUAUAGAGAGCAUCAGAAACCACAAGAAGGAGGUGCAGCGGUCUCUCCUGAGUGUGAAGCUGGCUCUUGGUAUUGCUUCUUGGUUCUUCUCUUCCUUUGGGAGAGUAAGAGGAAGAGGAUGCAGUCUUAGUAGU